UACGGGGGGUGCAAGCGUUGUUCGGAAUUACUGGGCGUAAAGGGCUCGUAGGCGGCCAACUAAGUCGGACGUGAAAUCCCUCGGCUUAACCGGGGAACUGCGUCCGAUACUGGAUGGCUUGAGUUCGGGAGAGGGAUGCGGAAUUCCGGGUGUAGCGGUGGAAUGCGUAGAGAUCCGGAAGAACACCGGUGGCGAAGGCGGCCUGCUGGGCUAUGGCUGACACUGAGGCGCGACAGCGUGGGGAGCAAACAGG
rnacentral:rRNA from 1 species